UCUCCCGUGACUCCCAACCUCCUAUCUCCAGUUCUCCACUCUCCACUAUCGUUUCUCGCCUUUUUUGUCGUUCACUAGCUGCCAUCCGUCGAAGUUCGAUCUUCACUCUAGCCCUAUCUGGUUUCUACCGACUGCCUUUUCUGGUUUCUGGUUUCUGCCUUAAUCUUGAACAAGUCAAAGUUUGUCUCUAAUUGACUAGUUUCUAGUUGGGUUUAUUGUUGCUGCCGACUGCCUUUCCUUCAUCAAAGUGAUUGGCAUAUGUGGAAAAGUUUCAAAAUUACUAAGAGAAACAUGGGAACAUUUUCAUUUAUGUAUCCAAUUUCCCGUAGCUUCUAGGAAUGCUUACCUUUUCAUUUCUGUUGUGUUUUAUUCCUUGGAAGUUAAUAUAUAGAUAUUUUGUUAUUUUUGUAUUAGAAGUUAAUAUACGAUGCUAGCACUUGCUUGUCAUAUGUGGGUGUUUUGUGCCAGACUACCAGUUGUGAAUUGUGAUGUUUCUAAAGGUAGUGUCUGACAGUGAUUGUUGCUCUCUAGGCAUCCUGUUUUUA